UUUCUGUUCCAUUGUCUCUUGGUCUGGGACUGAUAUUGAAGCAGCACUGAAGCAGAUUCCAGCUGGUAAACCUGUCAUUCUGGUAGUGCUGCAUCACACCUUCGAUCCAGACUACAGUGUACCUGACAGUAGCAGACUAGUGACCAGAGAUGAUGUAAUACUCACAGUGGACUGUCUGUUCCAUGAGAGCAAAGGACUACUGGAGUGUCCACGCAAUGAAGCAGCAGUCAAAGACAUUUUGAAGAAGCUUGACAUACAUCCUGAGGAGACAAGCUGUUGUUACAAGUUCCUCAACAUCUGCUGCUGCUGUUUUCUACCCGCCAGCGAGACAAGCUGUUGUGACAUUAUCUGCUGUGGUUUUCGAACCUCCAGAGUUUGUCCUACAGAGGACCAGAAGACUCCCCUUAUAAGAUAAAGAAGUGUGUAAACAGUAUUGCAUAAAUACUGCUAUUGCAUAAAUACUGAUAUUGAUUCUGAUACUUUCCAUGUUUCACUGAGCACCAUACACAAUGUGUGGUCCUUUUUUAAUGCAUCCAAU